UUACGAUAUUUUUUAUGUAUAUGUUAACGUGAGCAUUCUAUCACAACUUAUUUAAAAGCAGCAAAGCUACAAGGUUUCGACUCACCAAAGUCCUUCUGGCAAUACUGUCUGUGGCGUUCCCUUCGCCCUUUAACUCGCCGACAUUUCCCACAAUGCCCUGUACGAUAAACCGAGCAGAAUAGUCAUUUUUACUCACAAAAAUAGUCAUGAUAUCAUAAAACAUACCUUAAACCAGUGUUUCUUAAAAGGAGGUAUGCGUACCCCUAGCGGUACUUUGGAGUGCUGCAGGGGCUACAUUUUUGUAAAUGUUAAUUAAAAAAAUUAGUUUAGUUGUGCAAAAUACCUAAAAUAAUUUUACACCAAUGAAUGAAUUUAGUGAUUCUAAACAUUUGAAAUGUAGCAUUGAAUGGUUUUCAGUUACAAUAUUGUUGUUUAGUAAAGCAGACACUGAUGGUGCAGCGCUGUAUUGUGCCUCUAGCUAGGCUUUUUUUUUUUUUUUUUUUACCAAAAAUCUUUUGUGCUGGUCAAGUCGUACUUGGAUAAAAAAAAAUGUUUACAAGGGGGGUACAGUUUUGAUAACAGUUUGAGAACCAAUGCCUUAAACAAUACUUUGACAUGUUGAGGAAUAUGCAUGCUUGCUCGUGUCAUAUGAAAAGGUUAAUAUCGACAGGUAUUUUCCGAAAUAUCUGAGCAUCCCUUUAAGGAUUAUUGGCUCGUAGUUGGCCGGGCUUAGCUUGUUGUGAGGAUGGGUUGGAUGGAGAAAAUGUCAAACAUACUUCCAGGUGAAGGCUGAGGCAGGAGGUUUCUGUGGUUCUCUUCCCGCCGCUCCAGGCGGGGCAGCGUGGGCUGGUAGCGGUUGUGUUGGGGAGAUUGGCGGGGUGGCUU